UGUAAUGGGUAGUAACACUAUUUAACUGAGAAUUAGGCCAUGAAUUCUUAUUAUUGCUAUAAUCAGCACCAGCAUCAGUAACAUAAGCAGGUUGUGGAGGAUACUGCACCAUUAAAGCAGGAUUAUGAGAGGCAUAAAUGCAUGGUGGUGGUGGUGGUGGUAAUUGAGGUUUAUUGAAGAAAUUAUUAGGGUUUGAGGAAGAUUCAAUUGGGUUCUUGUUCUUGAGGUGGUUGGUUUGAACCCAUUCAAGAAUAAGCUUUAGCAAACGCUUCAUCCCUUGUUUUCCUCCGCCCAAUCGCUUCGCCGCGGAUUCGAUCGUUGAUUUCUUCAGCUUCACACUUCUCAAAUCACUCGCUGAGAUUUUGUCCUUGUU
rnacentral:lncRNA from 1 species